rnacentral:rRNA from 1 species
UACGGAAGGGGGGCUAGCGUUGCUCGGAAUCACUGGGCGUAAAGGGUGCGUAGGCGGGUCUUUAAGUCAGGGGUGAAAUCCUGGAGCUCAACUCCAGAACUGCCUUUGAUACUGAAGAUCUUGAGUUCGGGAGAGGUGAGUGGAACUGCGAGUGUAGAGGUGAAAUUCGUAGAUAUUCGCAAGAACACCAGUGGCGAAGGCGGCUCACUGGCCCGAUACUGACGCUGAUGCACGAAAGCGUGGGGGAGCAAA